rnacentral:lncRNA from 1 species
GUUAACAUGAUAUAUACAUGUAGUUCAAACUUCUGCAUGAGAACACUGUUGCCCUGUGAGUGUUUUACCAUUUCCCCUUAAGUGGGUAAUUGUUAUAACAUUACAUUUGAACGUGAAGAUUUCUACUUCAGUGGGUAAUUGUAAUAACAUUACAUUUGAACGUGAAGAUUUCUACUUGCGUGGGUAAUUGUAAUAACAUUACAUUUGAACGUGAAAAAUUCUACUUCAGUGGAUAAUUGCAAUAACGUAACAU